CCUGCUCCUCUCCGCCCGCAUACUCCCUCCCCUCCGCCCACUUCUGGUGGCCGCCACACCUCCCACUCCGUAUUCGCCUCCAUCUCCCCUCGUCUCCUCCAUUAGCCCUCCUCAGAUCCAGCUUCUGCUGCUCACGUUCAGCACACACCCCCCACCUUCAUCUCCAGCACGGCGCCAGGAGGGGAUGGCGACGACCGAGAUGCGGGACGGGGCGGGGCGGCGGUGGUGAAACCGGUUCUCGCGGCGUGGCCUGGCGGGGCCGGCGUGGCGGGCAGAGGCCACCGCCGCCACCAUCCCAGGAGGUGGGCACGUCGACCGCGCGGCGCGGGAUGAGGUCGACGCCGGCGACGAGCGCCUCGUGGUGCUCCCAGGCCUCCCAUCAUGAAUGCAAGCAGAUAGGCAUAGCCAUCUUCCUCAGCCUUAGAUCCACGUUCUAACGUGGUGAACUGGUGCCUCUACUGCAACCCGACGACGAGCAGCGGCCGUAGUGCUCGGCGAGGCGUAGAAGGUUCGGUGCUGCUGCCUGUCAUGGAGUUUGCCGACGACUGGCUUCAGCGGCGUCCAUCCCCCGUCUAGCAUUGUUUGCAUCAGCAGGUGUAACCUCGCGGAUCCAACUUGACUGGAUCCGUGGCCACCGGAUCCAUCACUGCCGCUGGGAUGUGGAGAGGCAGCUGGUGUUCUUUUUCCUUUCUCGAUUCAAUUUCUGCUAGCGAUUCAUGCAUGUGCACCUUCCCUUUUGAGGUUAUUUCGCCUUAUGCUUCUGAUUUGACAGGCGGGCAGGCAACUCGCAAAUCUCAGCAUCAAGGGCGGAACCGUGCCUGGCCCUCGAGCCCUCCACUUCCGCCUCGAUGGUUGAAGGUAGCGAUUAGACUUGGAGGUGCACCUCACGAGCUUUAUCUGAAGGACGCCAUCCAUGCCGAGUAAGUGGAUUCAUUUGCUGAAAUCUCACCCCUUACUCUGUACUUUAUGUGAAACAAUUCCAUUUAUGACCUACAAUGUACCACAGCUAGGACUAACUUCGUGUGUUCUGGUCCUUUGGUAGCUCCGUGGCACAAGUUUUCUUGCUGAAAAUGUAAAUCCAGUGAAUGCAUACGGUAGAUUUUCAUGCAUCUCAUAGUUCAGUACUUGAUUCAGAAAUUAAUUUAGUGAUGCAUUGUUGCAACCGAACUUGUAAUAUCCAGUUAAUUGUACCAAAUCUCGUGUAUUGGAUUGAUUUCCCCUCAUUUGUUUCUUGUGAAUAAGUGAUUUAUAUAAACUUAAAAGUACUGCUUGCUUAGCUCACUUGAUGAUAAAUAAAAUGAGUUCUAAUUAAACUGGCCUAGCUAUCUUUUCUCUGUUCAUGUUAAUUUAAAUCACAAAUUGAACCCUCUUUUAAUCACAUAUGUAUUCUGAAAGUUUCAGUUGGAAAUUUUGUUGCCUGGAAAUUGCAAUAAUUACUUUCUUUUAAAGUUAGUGAUUCUAUGAUAAAGCUAGUGCAAUAUUGCAGAUAAAGAGAUCUUUUAAAGCCAUAUCGAGGCAACAUUUCAGACUGAUUUAUUCACAUAACCUGUUUGAUUAAAUGCCUUAAUGCUCAACAUCUAUUAUGCCUCUCUAGUCUCUACCGUAACUAUGGAUGUGUUUUUACUUAAGUCUCUUGAAAAGCAAAUGCUUGAGCACAUCUCUUCAUUGUUCUGUCUUUUCCAUUUAUCAUCUGCUGUAAUGAUUAUUAAAUAUCUUCAUUGUGCCCUUGAUGUAUGCUUUGUGCUAACUGCUGUGUUGCUAUUCUGAUGCUUCCACUUCCCAUGGUCUUGAGGCCAGAGCUCCUCGCCGGUGGCCGUGGCGAUGCGCAAGCCCAAGGCUAUUUGUGCAGGGACAACAACAGCUGAGGUCUUUUCUCGUCGACAGUGCAACAAUUGCAGCUAGACUUCUCUCAGUUUGAUCUGAUAGUCUACUCAAGCUUGGCACUUGUAUCAGCAAGGAAGGAAGGAUGCGAGAGACUGACCAUCACAACCCAAAAGAUGGUACAUUUCUAUAAAAAAUGGUUGCAGCAAGCAAGGGAGUAUGUGUUAAUCUGACUUCAACUGAUAUUUUAGAGAACAAGUGUAAUCAACUAUUGACUAUUGUGAUGUGCUUCUGAAUAUAACAUGAGAUGUUGAAUCUUUUGUUUUUUGAGAUUAUGAUAUACUGGACCUAAUAUGUGUAAUUCUGAUAAAUGGGCUGAAAACUUACUAUGUCAUUUGGGCUGAAAUGUUGCUAUGAUGAA